rnacentral:pre_miRNA from 13 species
UUAAGGAAAUUAAACUGUCCUGUUACUAAGUACUAGUGCCGCAGGAGUACUUUCAACCUCCUGCUGCUCAAGUGCUUAUCAAUUGGAACAGUUACCUGCUACU